UGGACACUGACCGUGAUAAUUUCAUGGAUGCUUGGGAAGCAAAGGAAUACGGGUUGGUAGAUGCAGUCAUCGAUGAUGGCAAGCCAGGAUUAGUUGCACCUACUUCUGAAGCAAUACCUCCACCAAAACCUCGUGUAUGGCACAUGUGGAAUAUUGAAGGUAGCAGGAAAGCAAAGAAAAAGUUGCCCUCAGAGCAUAAUCUGUUGCAGAAUGGAAAUAUAGG
rnacentral:lncRNA from 1 species